rnacentral:rRNA from 1 species
CGGUGAGCUAACCGGUACUAAUGAACCGUGAGGCUUAACCUUACAACGCCGAAG